rnacentral:rRNA from 1 species
UACGGGGGGGGCAAGCGUUGUUCGGAAUUACUGGGCGUAAAGAGCGUGUAGGCGGCCUGGAAGGUCAGCUGUGAAAACUCGAGGCUCAACCUCGAGACGUCGGUUGAAACCACCUGGCUAGAGUAUGGGAGAGGGUAGUGGAAUUCCCGGUGUAGCGGUGAAAUGCGUAGAUAUCGGGAGGAACAUCAGUGGCGAAGGCGGCUACCUGGCCCAAUACUGACACUCAGGUGCGACAGCGUGGGGAGCAAACAGG